AGGGUCUCAUGUAGUCCAGGUUGUCCUGGAACUAUGCAAGCAAGGAUGACUCUAAACUGAUCAUCUUGUUUCCACCCCAGGAGUGCUGAGACUGCAGACACCAGCCACAUCUGGUUUAGGAGAUACCUAGGUUCUAUCUCACUGAGAACCACUCUACCAACUGAGCUACAGCUUCAGCCUCUUAAUGAUUUUUUUUAAAGCCUACCAACCAAACAACAGAGCCUCACCAUGUAUCCCAGGCUAGCCUUGAACUAGUAUUCCUCCUGCAGUGAACUUCCUGUGGCUGGGGUCACAGUUGAGUUCAUUAAAGCCAACUUGCAGGAUGCUUCAAUCUAGCCAUCCUUUGGCAAAUAGAAAAUAGAUCUUUUAAGGGACUCCUUGGCGUAUCCUGCUUGGAUAACAUCGUGAAAAUCCUUGGCAAAAAUGAAAGAAACGUAGAUGUUUUCUGUGGUGAACAAUUGCUUUCGCUGUUGUGUUUCCAGAGAUUUGUUUCUAGGACUUGAGUGGGCAGAUGAAGAGUCUGGAGGUCUGGUUAAAAUGCUGGGGAUACACAGCUGGAGGACUUGCCUAGCAUGCACAAAAACUGGGGUUCCACUCCAGUCCUGUAAGCAAGCAAGCAAGCAAGCAAGCAAGCAAGCAAGCAAGCAAGCAAACAAACAAACCAGCACGCAAAUAUGCACACAGAAAAUAUGAGAUCUGCUCUAGCAGGUCUAAGACGAAGCCUGAGACUCUGCAUCUAUUCUCAGGCCCCCAGGUGAUGCCCCUACAGGUCUCCUGACCACACUGAGCUGUUGGGCCAUGAAGAAUUGUUUCCUUAAUAUUUUUCUUUUUGUGUGUGUCUUACGUUGGCUGUGCCUGGAAAUCACACACACACACACCCACACGCACGCACGCACGCACGCACGCACGCACGCACGCACGCGCACACACACACACACACACACACAUACACACACACACUCUAUGCUGCCUUCUGACAAGCACACACAUAUCUACAAUUGAAAUAAAAGUUUUAAGAGGCAAUAGGGUGUAAUGAACUCUGAUACUUUAUUUUCUAUUUUGGACACAGAACAAAGAAGGGCAAAGCAGCGCUGACCGCAGACCUGUGAGACUGACUUGACUCUUCCAUCCAUGAUUCUCAAGUUCUACAAAAACACACCUCUGGAGCGUUCUUCCAUGGUGCAGACUUGGAGACUUCUGGCUUCACCUACGCACUGUUGGCAAUGACUGAAUUUGGCAAAUGAAACCAAACAAGGCCAAUAAUAAUGGGAAAUGCCAACCCACAGGAGAGCAUUGUCGAUAGGUUUGUGAGAGAGGACCACAGAACAGCAAAAAUGAAUGCAUUUCGAGCCUGUGGUAUUCAGAAGAGUAAGGUCAACUAGCAUGUUUCUCUGAAGCAAUGCCAAAAUGGGACAACAAACUUCAGUUACACUCACAUUCACAGAUAUUAGGGUUAGGUCUUGGACAUGUUUAUUGAGGGUGGGGGCUGAAAUUGGACCGAUGAGGAGUGUGAUGGUUUGUAUAUGCUUGGACCAGGAAGUGGCACCAUCUGAAGGUGUGGCCUUGUUGGAAUAGGUAUGACCUGGUUGGAAUGGGUGUGUCACUGUGGGUGUGGAUAUAAGAUCCUCACCCUAGUUGCCUGGAAGUCAGUCUUCCACUAGCAGCCUUUGGAUGAAGACAUAGAACUCUCAGCUCCUCCUGCGCCAUGCCUGCCUGGAUAUUGCCAUGCUCGCACCUUGAUGAUAAUGGACUGAACCUCUGAACCUGUAAGCCAGCCCCAAUUAAAUGUUGUUUUUCUAUAAGACUUGCCUUGGUCAUGGUGUCUGUUCACAGCAGUAAAACCCUAACUAAGACAGAAGUUGGUACCAGAAGUGGGGUAUUGCUGUGAUAGGCCUGACCAUGCUUUUAUUUGAAAGAAUGCGGAUUUUUGGACUUUGGAUUUGGAACUCAGUGGAAUGCUUUAAAUGGGGCUUAAUGGAUUAUCCUAGUAGGAAUAUGGAAGACUUUGUUGCUGGGAGUAAUUUGAACUGUGUUGACCUGGCCCAAGAGAUUUCAAAGGAGAAGAAUUUCAGUAUGUGGCAUAAAGACUGUUUUUGUGGUAUUUUGGUGAAGAAUGUGGCUACUUUUUACCCUUGUCUGAAAAGUCUGCCUGAGGCUAAGGUGAAGAGACUUGGAUUAAUUGCAUUAAUUGCAUUGACAAAGGAAGUUUCAAAAAAGCCCAGCAGAGACUCUGUUCUCUGGUUAAGUCUCACAAAGAGAAGUCUGAACAAGCAUAGCAAGCUUAGAAAGGUCAAAUAUAAAAUAUAUGGUUCGAGUAUUAAAGGCAUACCAGGAAGUGAAAUGGAGCAAAAUCCUGUGUUUUAGGAAAUAACAGAUUAGGGAGUGGGACGUUGGGGCAAGAUCAUACCCAGCUGAAUUUAGAACCAGGCAUGGUGGUACACACCUUUAAUCCCAUGAGACAGGCAUGCUGAUUUCUGCAUUCAAGGUCAAUCUACAAAGCAAGAACCAGGAUAGCCAAGCUUAGGCAGUGAAGGAUUUAGAAAACAUAAAGCUAGUGAUAAUGUAAUAGUACAAGGGGAUCAUGUUCUAGUUCCUGUAAGCAGCAGAACUCAGCAGCUUCAGCCAUGUGGCUCUGGCUCUAGAGUUAAGAAUGGAAGGAACUACUGGGAAAAUUGAUGCUGGUUAGUUGGAGCUAAGGAAUUAGCAGUGAUUAAGAAGAGACCAGCAUCACUGAGGUGAAAUCUUCUGGAAAUUGUUUUCUGGGAGCACAAAGAAGCUGUGUUCCAGAGAUACCCAAGGUUGUACCUCAUGCUGUGGCUGGACUUGUUAAUGUGUAAGAGUCACUCAGGUGGUACUGCUUGUGAACGAAUGAAGGGAUCAUGGAGAGAAGCUGAGGCUUAGCACUGUGAGAGGCCAGGGAAGGCCAUUGGAGAAGGUGAAGCCUCAGCUGUAGUUGAUGGCCCAGGACUGAAGGGGUGAUACAAAGGAUUUGAGGCUUGGCACCCUGAAGAGAGCCUAUGAGAGGCUAUUGGUGAAGUCUAGUUGGAGUGGAACACCCUAGUGUAUUGGAGAUGUCAGUACCAUGGGAUACAUGCUGAGGAGUGCUGCUAACAAGGAGUGGAACCAGCUCAGGAGAAAGCAGUUUGUUGCAGUCAACAAAGAUGGAAAAGGAGUGGAGAUCUGAAGACCGCUUUGACAUCAGCCAUGGAGAUGCAGAGUUUGGACUUUGCCCAGCUGGUUUCCUGCCUUGCUUUGGGGAUUACAGUUAAUUAAGUCGAAUGAAUCUCAGAAGAGACCUUGAACUUUGGACUUUUAACAUUGUUGCGACUGCUAUAGACUAUGAGGACUUUGAAAGUUGGACUAAAUGAAUUUUGUAUUAUGCUAUGUUUAAGUAUGGCCCCCAUAGACUCAUGUUUUUAAACAAGUCUAUGGGGACCAGGGAGUGGAAUGUGAUGGUUUGUAUAUCCUUGGACCAGAGAGUGGCACCAUCUGAAGGUGUGGCCUUGUUGUAAUAGGUGUGACCUGGUUGGAAUGGGUGUGUCACUGUGGGUGUGGGCAUAAGAUCCUCACCCUAUUUGCCUGGAAGUCAGUCUUCCACUAGCAGCCUUUGGAUGAAGACAUAGAACUCUCAGCUCCUCCUGCGCCAUGCCUGCCUGGAUAUUGCCAUGCUCCCACGUUGAUGAUAAUGGACUGAACCUCUGAACCUGUGAGCCAGCCCCAAUCAAAUGUUGUUUUUUAAUAAGACUUGCCUUGGUCAUGGUGUCUGUUUCACAGCAGUAAAACCCUAACUAAGACACUGGGGCAUAAAAUUAUGCCUAUCUUGACCUCAGCACUGACACUUGGUUGGGUAGUUCUUUGUCAUGGGACUUUCCUUUGCUGGAACAGGCAUUAGCACCAUCCCUGCCUCCUAUCAUGAGAUGCAAAAAUGUCUGCAGGUAGUGCCAGGACUCUCCCUGAGAGCUAUGCAAGAGCAUAGACAGAGCCUCUAGUUAAACAGAAACAGUGGAUAAUGUUUCAGUGUGUUGAAGAUAUUCCGUGGAAUAUGGUUACGUUAACAAUUAUCCAUUGCUAAUCUGCACAUCUUGUCAUAUUGCCAAUCAUGGUCUCUUCCCCUGUUGGGAGCAUCCUAUGGGAUCAGGGGGGAUAUGGGACUAAUGUCAAGGCUUCGCCAAACCUGACAACCUGAGUUCAACCUCUGGGACCUGCAUGGUAGAAGGAGGGAACCGACUCCUGCAAGCUGCCCUCUGACCACCACAUGGGUGCAGUGGUAUACGUACACACUCCUGCUCUCACGCGCAAACAAACAAAGGGGCAAACGAAUGCAAACAAUACUAGCAAAAGAAAAAGAAAAAAAAAGAAAAAGAAAAAGAAGAAAAAAAAGAAAAAAACGCUCACUGAGUGGCUAGCCCUCAUCCUAGCUGGUUGGAAGCCAGUCUUCUGCUGGCAGCCUUCAGAUGAUGAUGUAGAACUCUCAGCUCCUCCUGUACCAUAAAUGAAUGUAAGGAGUAACUGAGCCAUCUUUUCCAACACAGGUGUGGACCCAGCUGUGAGCCCUGCCAUGGCUGAUCCAAGGAUUGUGGAUGCAUGUUCUGUCCCCAUGAGAGUGCUCUUGUCUCUCUGAAAGAUGAGAAUAAUAACAUUUCUUACGACACUGUUGAGGCUCCUUUAACCAUGUCUCUAACAUGCCUCCAAAACCAUAUUAAAAACAAGGUAAAAAAUGCCUUGUGUUGUCAGUGUUUAUAAUUUACUCCUGCCCAGGCAUGGUGGUGCACGCCAUAAUCUCAGACACCAAGGGAAGAGGUGGAAGGGUUGUGAGUUCGAGGCCAGCUAGACCACGUAGCCUAAACCUAUCUAAAAAUCAACAGCAACAACAACAGAGAUACAAACAAGAUGACAAUUUUAGCGGUGUUUCUUGGUGCAGGAAGAGGUCACACCUAAUUCUGAGAUAAUUAAACCCCACGAAAAGAUGAUCCAUUUCCUGAUUAGAACAAAAUGAACACAGUUUCUUCUCUGCUGGGCCGUUCCGUCUUCCUCCCACUCAGAGGCGCUGCCUGGUUUCUGGAACAUCUGCUGUUGAGACGAGAACUUUCUGUGUUUCUAUCAUCGAAGGCAAUUAUGUCAACUGAAACCUUCCUGGGGCCUUAUCCAAGCCCAUGAGAUAGUUAGGAGGGCCACAAGGUCAUUUGCAUAACCAGCAGGUGAUUUGCAUAUAGUUUGCAUAUAUUCUACCUUGCUCUGUGUUGUUAUGUAUCACUUGAUUUUUGGAAAGCUUUCACAUUUAUUUUUUUAUAUAAUAGGCUAAGGUCUCAGGACAUGCAAGGGACACACUCUCCCAGAGCUAGGAUGAUGGAACAUUUGUUAGUAGAUACUGUGUGCUUCCAAAUGGUAUUCAUCUAAACCCACUGGGUCUAAAAUUUGGCUAGGAUCCCAUUGUUAAGGGCCACAUGGCUGGUCUGAAGCUAGAAGCAGCCUUGUCAGGAACGGUUGGGCCUCCCUGGGUGACUGUAAGGUGCAGCCAAGGUUGACAGCCACUUAUUUUAGCCUGACAACAAACCUGUGCAAAAGUAUUCCCUACCUCAUGCUGAAGGUAGAAACUGAGGCUUAGAGGACGUGUGUGUGUGUGUGUGUGUGUGUGUGUGUGUGUGUGUGUGUGCACACAUGCGCGUGCUUGGGGUGGGGGAAAGAGCUGCUCUUUGUUGUUAACUUGAAAAUAAACAUAAGCAUCCUAUGUGUGUUCAACUCUUGAAAUGG
rnacentral:lncRNA from 1 species